rnacentral:rRNA from 1 species
CGGAGGGUGCAAGCGUUAUCCGGAUUCACUGGGUUUAAAGGGUGCGUAGGAGGGCAGGUAAGUCAGUGGUGAAAUCUCCAAGCUUAACUUGGAAACUGCCGUUGAUACUAUCUGUCUUGAAUACCGUGGAGAUGAGCGGAAUAUGUCAUGUAGCGGUGAAAUGCUUAGAUAUGACAUAGAACACCAAUUGCGAAGGCAGCUCGUUACACGAAUAUUGACUCUGAGGCACGAAAGCGUGGGGAUCAAACAGGAUUAGAUACCCUGGUAGUCCACGCCCUAAACGAUGGAUACUCGACAUACGCGAUACACAGUGUGUGUCUGAGCGAAAGCAUUAAGUAUCCCACCUGGGAAGUACGACCGCAAGGUUG